rnacentral:lncRNA from 1 species
GGGCUCUGCCCCAGUCAGCCCUGGCUCAGUGGGGGAGGCUGCCCCCUCUCUGGACACAUUCCAGCUGCCAGCAGUAAGGAAGUAACCAUGGGAACCGACACAAAGGGCUGAAUGUCAAAAAGGUGGUGGGCCAUGGGGAAGGGGCUCAGAGGGGCUCAGUGAGCCAGAGAAGACCAAUGUGGAGCUUGCACUAGGCAAAACAGCCAGGCACAAGGCCUCAAGGGUGUCAGGACAACUGGGAGGGAUCUUCGUAGGAUCUUUUCCAGAGUCCUUUCUCCCCCUGCAGAGAGCAAUGCUGCCCUGAACUAACAGGGACCAUAUGCUUGGACAGAACUGGCAAAGAGCUGCAUUUCUGCAAGCACAGGGCUGCAGGCGAUGCUUGGCUAAUGGCUCCUCCCUGCACCACCUGGCCUCAGCCCAGUGUCUCCAGCACCACCCACUCUACAUGCUGUGCUUCUGGGUAGAUCUGUGAAUGGUUGAGCAAGUGGUCCUGGGAUUCCACUUUCCUGGUCAACCCUGCACCACACGAAGGAGCAGCUGGGAUGUCGCAUAAUAAUGACUCGGGGAUGUGGAUUGACAAGGGCCACUGGGGUAAGGCCUGAAGGACAAAGCCAGAGAAGGCCAUUUGACACGGGUCUUUUGAGAGGCUGGGGAACGAAUCUGACACGUUUGCUGCCUCCUCCUAUGGAAGACGGAAGACCCAUUAGCCAGGUAAGAACACACUCAGGGAGUCACUAGCUCCUUCUCUGCCACCUCUCCUUUCCCAUAGCCGAUAAACCCUACACGAGCUUCACUUGCUGUGUCAUUCUUCUUGCAUCUAAAAGGCAAAGGCAAUUAGCA